GACGAACGCUGGCGGCGUGCUUAACACAUGCAAGUCGAACGGAAACUCCCUGCUUUUUUGCGGUCCUCGACUUGCGAACUGGUGAGUAACACGUGAGUAACCUGCCCUUGCCUUUGGGAUAUCUUCAUGAAACUGGAGCUAUUAGCGGCUAGGAUCUCUUGCUGCUGGGUGGGGCUUGGAUAGUUUCGGUGGUUGGUGAUGUACUCGCGGCUUAUCAGCUUGUUGGUGGGGUAGUGGCUUACCAAGGCUUUGACGGGUAGCCGGCCUGGGAGGGUGACCGGCCACAUUGGGACUGAGAUACGGCCCAGACUCCUACGGGAGGCAGCAGUGGGGAAUAUUGCACAAUGGGCGGAAGCCUGAUGCAGCAACGCCGCGUGCGGGAUGACGGCCUUCGGGUUGUAAACCGCUUUCGCCUGUGACGAAGCGUGAGUGACGGUAAUGGGUAAAGAAGCACCGGCUAACUACGUG
rnacentral:rRNA from 1 species